UACAGAGGGUGCAAGCGUUAAUCGGAAUUACUGGGCGUAAAGCGUGCGCAGGCGGUUGCGUAAGUCAGAUGUGAAAGCCCCGGGCUCAACCUUGGAAUUGCAUUUGAGACUGCGUAGCUAGGGUGCGGAAGAGGGAAGCGGAAUUUCCGGUGUAGCGGUGAAAUGCGUAGAUAUCGGAAGGAACACCAGUGGCGAAAGCGGCUUCCUGGUCCAGCACCGACGUUCAGGCACGAAAGCGUGGGGAGCAAACAGG
rnacentral:rRNA from 1 species